rnacentral:rRNA from 1 species
GAUGAACGCUAGCGAUAGGCUUAACACAUGCAAGUCGAGGGGCAGCAUGGUCUUAGCUUGCUAAGACUGAUGGCGACCGGCGCACGGGUGCGUAACGCGUAUGCAACUUGCCUCACAGAGGGGGAUAACCCGUCGAAAGACGGACUAAUACCGCGUACACUUGGGAUAGGGCAUCCUGACCCAAGGAAAUGAAAUUCGCUGUGAGAUAGGCAUGCGUCCCAUUAGCUAGUUGGUGAGGUAACGGCUCACCAAGGCGACGAUGGGUAGGGGAACUGAGAGGUUGAACCCCCACACUGGUACUGAGACACGGACCAGACUUCUACGGGAGGCAGCAGUGAGGAAUAUUGGUCAAUGGGCGAGAGCCUGAACCAGCCAAGUCGCGUGAAGGAUGACUGUCUUAUGGAUUGUAAACUUCUUUUAGACGGGAAUAACAAGAGCCACGUGUGGCUCCCUGCAUGUACCGUAUGAAUAAGCAUCGGCUAACUCCGUG